GACGAACGCUGGCGGCGUGCUUAACACAUGCAAGUCGAACGGUAAGGCCCUUCGGGGUACACGAGUGGCGAACGGGUGAGUAACACGUGGGUGAUCUGCCCUGCACUUCGGGAUAAGCCUGGGAAACUGGGUCUAAUACCGGAUAGGACCACUGCCUGCAUGGGUGGUGGGGGAAAGCUUUUGCGGUGUGGGAUGGGCCCGCGGACUAUCAGCGUGUUGGUGGGGUGAUGGCCUACCAAGGCGACGACGGGUAGACUGCCCGAGAGGGUGAUCGGGCACACUGGGACUGAGAGACGGCCCAGACUAAUACGGAAGUCAGCAGGGGGGAAUAUUGCACAAUGGGCGAGAGCCUGAUGCAGCGACGCCGGGUGAGGGAUGACGGCCUUCGGGUUGUAAGCCUCUUUCAGCAGCGACGAAGCUCAAGUGACGGUAGGUGCAGAAGAAAGACCGGCCAACUACGUGCCAGCAGCCGCAGUAC
rnacentral:rRNA from 1 species